rnacentral:rRNA from 1 species
UCAGGACUAGUAUGAACGGCCGCACGAGGACUACCCUGUCUCCUCCCUCCAAUCAGUGAAACUGAUCUCCUCGUGAAGAAGCGAGGAUACCUCCAUAAGACGAGAAGACCCCAUGGAACUUUAAACUGGUACCUCUUCUCAAUACGAGACCUCAUGACUACUAGUCUUUCGGCUGGGGCGAGCACGGGGAAAAACAAAACCCCCGAGAUGAAAGGAAAUAUCCUUAUUCCAGAACUACUAUUCCAAAAAUCAAAAAAUGACACCAUUGACCCAAUACUUGACCAACGAACCAAGCUACCCUGGGGAUAACAGCGCAAUCCAUUUCAAGAGGACUCAUCGACAAAUGGGCUUACGACCUCGAUGUUGGAUCAGGGAAUCCUGGUGGUGCAGCCGCUACUAGAGGUUCGUUUGUUCAAC